rnacentral:rRNA from 1 species
AACGUAGGUUCCGAGCGUUAUCCGGAUUUACUGGGCGUAAAGCGCGUCAGGCGGUUUGGCAAGUCGGGCAUGAAAUCUCUCGGCUCAACCGGGAGAGGUUGUCCGAUACUUCCAGACUUGAGGGCAGUAGAGGGUGGUGGAAUUCCGGGUGUAGUGGUGAAAUGCGUAGAUAUCCGGAGGAACACCAGUGGCGAAAGCGGCCACCUGGACUGCACCUGACGGCUGGACACGGCGAAAACUAGGGGAGCGAACGGG